GCCGAUAGAGAUUCAAAAGAUAUACAUGUACAUACAUCAGGAAAUGAAAAUAAUGGCCAUCUUUUAGCUAGUCCGAUAUGUUUCUGGCAUGAAGCACUGGCUGCUUUCAUGGCCAUCAUAGUCCCUUAUAAUGGGAAGUGACGGUAGAUAACAGAAAUAAAUAUGUGCUCAACUGACAUAAAGAAAUUCGAAUUUCAAAUAUACUGUUCAUGAAGUCAGAUAGAUUUAUCUCUACCAUCUAAUAACCACCAUUUGAAUACCGAAUAUGCAUUACCCCAACACCAUUUGAUGAAAGAACUGGAGAAAAUUGUUGGUCGGAAGGUGGUUCGGAAUUUCGUCGAACAGUUGGUCUGCGGGAAGUAAAAGAGGGUAUUCCUUGAAUAAAUGAUUGAUCGGAACAGUGAUCGAAUGUGGUAAAAGAUACCCUCUAGUAGACAAUACGGCAACGAUCCACGACAUUAUGGCAGCCGCCGCACGCCAUCGAAAAAUACCAAUGAGACGAAGACACAUCAUCCACAACCACCGACGAGCACCAAUCGUCGCUUCACAUGAUCUUCGAUCGCCAAUAGGAGAUGGAUACCAUGGAUCGGG
rnacentral:lncRNA from 1 species